rnacentral:rRNA from 1 species
CUGGUUGAUUCUGCCAGUAGU